AAAUGAUACGGUGACUCGCUCGCUUCUGAGCU
rnacentral:sRNA from 1 species